CGGGACUUUUUCUGGUAGCAAUACCGGAAAAAGUCUAGUGGCGAACGGGUGCGUAACACGUGGACAAUCUGCCUUAAAGUGGGGGAUAGCUCGGCGAAAGCCGAAUUAAUACCGCAUGUGAUGAGGGAAGACAUCUUUCUGAAAUCAAAGCCGGGGCAACCUGGCGCUUUUUGAGGAGUCCGCGGCCUAUCAGCUUGUUGGUGAGGUAACGGCUCACCAAGGCUAUGACGGGUAGCUGGUCUGAGAGGACGACCAGUCACACUGGAACUGAGACACGGUCCAGACACCUACGGGUGGCAGCAGUCGAGAAUUUUUCUCAAUGGGGGAAACCCUGAAGGAGCGACGCCGCGUGGAGGAUGAAGGCCCUUGGGUUGUAAACUCCUGUCGGUUGGGAAGAAAUCUAGCGGGGCUAAUACCUCCGCUAGUUGACUGUACCAGCAAAGGAAACCCGGCUAACUCUGUGCCAGCAGCCGCGGUAAUACAGAGGGGGCCAGCGUUAUUCGGAAUUAUUGGGCGUAUAGGGCGCGUAGGCGGCCAUGCGUGUCUUCCGUGAAAUCCCUCGGCUUAACUGAGGACGUGCGGGAGAAACUGCAAGGCUUGAGUCCGGGAGAGGGGGGUGGAAUUCCCAGUGUAGCGGUGAAAUGCGUAGAUAUUGGGAGGAACACCGGUGGCGAAGGCGGCCCCC
rnacentral:rRNA from 1 species